GGGGGAUAACUACUGGAAACGGUGGCUAAUACCGCAUAACGUCGCAAGACCAAAGAGGGGGACCUUCGGGCCUCUUGCCAUCAGAUGUGCCCAGAUGGGAUUAGCUUGUUGGUGAGGUAACGGCUCACCAAGGCGACGAUCCCUAGCUGGUCUGAGAGGAUGACCAGCCACACUGGAACUGAGACACGGUCCAGACUCCUACGGGAGGCAGCAGUGGGGAAUAUUGCACAAUGGGCGCAAGCCUGAUGCAGCCAUGCCGCGUGUAUGAAGAAGGCCUUCGGGUUGUAAAGUACUUUCAGCGGGGAGGAAGGUGUUGCGGUUAAUAACCGCAGCAAUUGACGUUACCCGCAGAAGAAGCACCGGCUAACUCCGUGCCAGCAGCCGCGGUAAUACGGAGGGUGCAAGCGUUAAUCGGAAUUACUGGGCGUAAAGCGCACGCAGGCGGUCUGUCAAGUCGGAUGUGAAAUCCCCGGGCUCAACCUGGGAACUGCAUUCGAAACUGGCAGGC
rnacentral:rRNA from 1 species